UACAGAGGUGGCAAGCGUUGUUCGGAAUUACUGGGCGUAAAGGGCGCGUAGGCGGUCCUGUAAGUCCCGCGUGAAAUCCCCCGGCUCAACUGGGGAACUGCGCGGGAAACUGUGGGGCUUGAGUUCGGGAGAGGGAAGCGGAAUUCCGGGUGUAGCGGUGAAAUUCGUAGAUAUUGGGAAGAACACCGGUGGCGAAGGCGGCGACCUGGUCCAUUACUGACGCUGAGGCGCGACAGCGUGGGGAGCAAACAGG
rnacentral:rRNA from 1 species